rnacentral:rRNA from 1 species
UACGUAGGGUGCGAGCGUUAAUCGGAAUUACUGGGCGUAAAGCGUGCGCAGGCGGUUCGUGAUGUCUGGUGUGAAAGCCCCGGGCUUAACCUGGGAAUUGCAUUGGAAACUAGCGGGCUGGAGUGUGGCAGAGGGGGGUGGAAUUCCACGUGUAGCAGUGAAAUGCGUAGAGAUGUGGAGGAACACCAAUGGCGAAGGCAGCCUUCUGGGCCAACACUGACGCUCAUGCACGAAAGCGUGGGGAGCAAACAGG